rnacentral:rRNA from 1 species
UACGGAGGGUGCAAGCGUUAUCCGGAUUUACUGGGUUUAAAGGGAGCGCAGGCGGAUUGGUAAGUCAGUGGUGAAAUACCCGUGCUUAACAUGGGAACUGCCAUUGAUACUAUCAGUCUUGAAUGUUGUUGAGGUUUGCGGAAUGGGUCAUGUAGCGGUGAAAUGCAUAGAUAUGACCCGGAACACCUAUUGCGAAGGCAGCAGGCUAAACAGAUAUUGACGCUGAGGCUCGAAAGCGUGGGGAUCAAACAGG